UUUUUUUUUUUUUUUUUUUUUUAAAGCCCUCAAGCUGACAGAGUUCCCCUUCUCUGCUGAAACUUUGCUGUAUAAAAGGGGCGGAGCUUUAGCGGUUUUGUCCGAGCUGGCUGCUUUGCUGAUUUCUGAGCCGGAAACGAUGUGAGCUAGACGGAUAUCACUACACCGAGAGAGAGAGAGUAUGCCCGUCCCACCCAGACAGAGAGAGAGACAGACCGAGAGAGAGAGAGAGAGUAUGCCCGUCCCACCCAGACAGAGAGAGACAGACCGAGAGAGAGAGAGUAUGCCCGUCCCACCCAGACAGAGAGAGAGCUUGUCCAGUUUUUGAGUCUCUCGCUCCCAGCCGCUGAUGGCUGCGUCAUUGUCGAGAUUCGAACUCCCACUUUCGAAUGGGAUGCGAAAGAACUCGCUCCGGAGUGAAGAGAGAAACGGCGUGUCAUUUUUGUCUCGUUUGUACGUGUUGCAUAGUUUUUCUGCUUCAUAAGCCUCAUGAUUCAAAUAACGACUUCUGGUUGAGGGUACAAAAAAAGCAAAGUCGCAAGGGUGGGUGGGUGUGUGUGUGUGUGUGUGUGUGUGGAGGACGGACCUUCAGCGAGAGUUCUUCGUCUUAAACCCGAGAGAUGAUCUAAACGGGUCUCCGUGACGCUGGGACACGCGCAGCUGGUUUUAAUCUCUGCCUCGAUUCGUUUUGCGUCGGCCGGUUCGGAUUCUCACCGUCGCAUCCAGGAUGGUCACCUUAUUCGUUUGUUUGUUUGUUUGUUUGUUUGUUUAUUUUUUUUAAACACACAAGUCUACAAAAGAACGUCUGAGGAAAAGCUCUGUAGCGUUUUCUCGGUUCUGCCGCACGUGAGCCGAUCGUGGUUCUCGAUGAAGUAGUACGCUUGUGCAGCAUCGCCAGCUGUAGGUUUUAGAGCGCUUCCUUCAAGGAAAUAAACAAACCGCUUCAGAUCGUUUCGUUGUCAAUUCCACUUUAUUUAACCACCUCAGUUUUGUGUUUUGUUUUUCCCCCCGCCUAGAAUGUUCUUCUUCCCUUCCUUCCUUCUUUCUUUCAUUGUUUAUUUUUGUUUGUUUGUUUUAAAUGCCAUAAAAUGGAUGUCCAUAUGAGAAACGGCUCCACUGCUAUGCUUUGUAUACUCGCGUGCUGGAAAUAAAAACGGACGCUCGUUGACGUGCGCGUGGCGGCGUUUCUAUCCGCGCUAGGGCCGCGGGGAUAAUACUUCGGAUUUUCACGAGGCAGAGGCCGUACCCCGCCUGAGCCGACGUUCCCUGAAGUAAAACCGAUCCAGGAUCGGUUCUGGGGCCGUUCGUAUCCCGACGCGGUUUGUGGAAAGUUCCGGAGCUGGUCCGAGAUAUCCGGGGGUGGCGUUUCCGCACACGUGAUGAAGAAAAGCAGCGUUUUCCAGCAUCCAAAGAUCUAAACGCGUCUCCGACCGCACCGCUAACAAGAGCGAGAAUACGCAAACGAGCGACCGUUUAGCGCGGUUCUCCCGGCGCACUCGCCCUCUCUGGGUCCUCUUCGUUCUCUCGCAACGGAACGGAAAAUCCGACGGUAAAACACGCUCGGUCACACGCCUCUCCAUCUCCUCCUCUCCUCCUCCUCCUCACCUUCAUCACAUCAUCAACCGGCUUCUCGCGCAUCGAGUCCACUCGUCAGUUUGCCUUCGUACACGUCCGCGUCCCGACACUCUUCUAGUUCCUUUUUAAAAUCACAGCCAUGAAAAGAGAAGAGAAUAAAUAAAUAAACACCACCACCAUUUGUUGAUUUUUACUUUUUUCUUUAUUUUCUUUAUUUGGUCAUAUUUUCUAAGUGUAUUUUCAAUAACGAGAAACUCUUUUCCUCCCGACGCGGGUAUGGUGAUGGUGUGGUCUAAUUGUACCUUUUUUCGGGAAACAAUACUGUAUAUUCUUCUGCCUUUAACAGUCUUAAUUAUUUUACCUUCUGGAGAACUUGAUGGAAGAACAACCCUGUAAGACACAUGGAGUAUGUUUAAAAAAAAAAAAAAAAUUUAAAAAAAAAAUUAAAAAUGAAAAAAAAUUAAAAAGCCAAAAAAAUAAUAAUUAAAAAAAAUACACAGAAUAAUAUUUUGCAACAUGUAUCAUUCCAAUAAAGUUUUAAUUGUUAAAAUGACGCAAACAAACGUGGGUCCUGUUUUGUUUAAUAACGAACCUUUUUUGUGUGUGUGUGUGUGUGUGUGUGUGUGUGUGUACACAAGUGGGAGGACAUGGAUGUUUUGCUUAGCCUACACAAACACAUUAAAUAUGUUUGAAAUCGGUGACGUGUGCGCUGCUCAUUUGUCGAUCCCGUGCUGUAUUUUUAUUAUUCCCGUAAACGGUUUGCAGCUGUCUCCGGCGCUGACGUCGCACCACGUGGGGGCGCUGUUAGCGCUAGUGCGGUUACAAGGGCGGGGACAAAUUAAACCAUUUCAAUCGUCUCAAUUUUGCUCUUAAAAACAAAAGCGCAGGAGCGACGUUUCUCGUUUUUGAGCGUCAUGUUAAUGAGCGACGUCGGAGCAAAGCGCCGGACUCAAAAGUCCCCAGAAUGCAACGCGGCAGAGAUCCGGUUCGGCCGCGUGGCGAUCUGCGAGACGACGAGCGCAACGGUGUUGGCGUGAAAUUUAGUGCUUUGUUACGGACGAGGAGAUGGACGGACUGAAGGACUAAAGCACCGCCGCGGCGCAUCGCUCUCCGACGUCGGAAACCGAAGUGAGAAGAAGUUUAAAACUAAAAACCCAACUCGGUUCUGGACGCAGUUUAAGAGCGUAUGUUAAUUAUAAAGAUGAAUAUGUAAAUUGCUUCGGGUGGAGUUUCUUUAAAUAACCUAAGCGCGUUGGUCAAUCGCUAAACUAGCUGGUUCUGCUUUACUCGCGACAUGUCCGACCUGAUAAAAUAAAUUCUGCUAAAUUUAUCCAUAACGUCGUUUAGAGUGAAACUGAAUGUGAUUAGAGUUUGAUUAGGAG
ensembl:lncRNA